GACGAACCGUGCGAACGUUAUUCGGAAUCACUGGGCUUAAAGCGCGUGUAGGCGGAUGGGAACGUCGGCCACUGAAAGCCCCCGCUCAACCGGGGAAGCGGUGCCGGGACGGCCCGUCUGGAGGGGCGUAGGGGGACCUGGAACUUCCGGUGGAGCGGUGAAAUGCGUUGAGAUCGGAAGGAACGCCCGUGGCGAAGGCGGUUCUCUGGGCCUUACCUGACGCUGAGGGCGAAAGCGUGGGGAGCGAACAGG
rnacentral:rRNA from 1 species